rnacentral:rRNA from 1 species
AGUCGAGCGGCAACAGACCUCGGGUGCUGACGAGCGGCGGACGGGCGCCAUAUAUGCUUGGGAACUUGCCCUUUAGGAGGGGGAUAACCCUUGGAAACCAUGGUUAACACCCCAUAACGUCUACGGACCAAAGUAGGGGAUCUUCGGACCUCUGCCCUUGAGAUAGGCCCAUGUGAGAUUAGCUAGUUGGCGGGGUAAAGGCCCACCAUGGCGACGAUCUCUAGCUGUUCUGAGAGGAUGAUCAGCCCCACUGGGUAUUGAGACACGGCCCACACUCCUACUGGAGGUAGCAGUGGGGAAUAUUGCUCAAUGGGGGAAACCCUGAUGCCCCCCUGUCGCGUGUGUGAAGAAGGCCUCCCGUUUGUAAAGCACCUUCCCUGCUGAGGAAGGCUUGUUCUUUUAUACCCUACACGAUUGACCUUUUCCAUCACUAAAAGCACCCGCUAUCUCCGUGCCUGCAGCCGUGGUCAUACAGAGGGUGCAAGCGCUAAUCGGAAUUAUUGUGGCCAUAGCGCACCCUCGCGGCUCCUUUAUCAAUCAUGUGUUAACCCCCGUCUC